CCGGCUGCAGCGGCCCCGCGCGGUGUGUCCAGGCCGCGGCGGCCCCGGCCCAGGGGACAGACGAGCUGCGCGGCCCAGAAGCGGGCAGCGCACGGAAUGAUCAACUUUUGCCCCCAAUGUGGCCAGAAGGUAGAGACAGCAUUUCAUUUCUGCCCUGUCUGUGGGAAUAAGCUGCCUAAAGAAGAUGAUGAGGAACCAAUGCAACUCACUCCAGAUGUGUCUUUGUCCUCUCUGAAAGCCCUGAGGCAGAAUGAGCCAGUUCCAGAAACAAGAAAGACAGUGGAGUGGAUAUCUUCUGAGAAAAUACCAGCUUCCACUUCGACUGAAGAGGAGGUUUGGAGCCCACAGGCUGCUUCCCCAAGUACCAAGGUGACAUCCAAGGCAAAGUUCAGUCCCCGAUCUCCCCGGCGGCUCAAAUCCACCUCCGUGACACCUCUCCCAGAAGGCAAGAUUCUGACCGACCAGAAUAGCAAGCAGUGGAAACUGGGGAAGCUUCUGAACCAGAGCGUGUGUGGGCUGAUGUACGAAGCACAAUCAGCGUCUGGAGCCUGCCCUCAAAAGCAAAGAUACUUUCUCAAACUUGACGCCAAAGAUGGCAGGAUCUACAAUGAGCAGAUCUUCCUGCAGCGAGCAGCAAAGAAAAUCACAGUGGAUAAGUGGAAGAGGAUGCACUCGGUGCCCUUGCUGGGGAUUCCAAAUUGCAUUGGCUUUGGACUCCAUGAGAGUAACUACAGGUUUCUGGUGUUCCCUGAGUUAGGGCGAACUGUUCAGUCAAUCCUGGGCGAUGGCACAAACCUACUGACGGAGAAACCGGUUUUCCAGAUCGCCAUCAGGGUGCUAGACUCUCUGGAAUACAUCCAUGGAAACGAGUAUGUGCAUGGGGACGUCACAGCAGAGAACAUCUAUGUGAACCCAGACGACCUCGCAGAGGUCACCCUGGCGGGUUACUGCUUUGCAUUCCGAUACUGCCCGGGAGGAAAGCACGUGGCUCAGUGUCAAGGCAGCAGGACUCCUCACGAGGGCACCAUUGAGUUCAUCAGCCUGGAUGGGCACAGGGGAGCUGGACCAUCUCGCCGGAGUGACCUACAGUCUCUGGGCUACUGCAUGGUGAAGUGGCUGUGUGGCUUCCUGCCCUGGACUGAUGACCUGGCUGAUGUGCACAAGGUCAUGGAGCAGAAAGAGAGGUACCAAAUGGAUGUGGUCGGGCUUCUGCGACUGUGCUUCGGCCGAAAACCGAUUCCAGAUGCUCUGCACAACUACCUGCAGCAAGCAAUGGCCUUGGCCUUUGAAGAGGAGCCAGACUACGAGGCACUGCGAAAGCUCUUGGGGAAGCCGCUGGAGAUGAAGAGAGCUUCAGCUUAUGACUCAGUGGACCUCAAGGUGGUGCCUUAGGCAACUCAGCAGUUCUGAAAUGGUUAAGAUGUCCUGAGGGUCACUUUUCAGUACAAGGGGAGCUGGUUGGCUGGCUUGCUGUUCCCAAAGGCUGGAGCAAGAUCUCAAGAAACUGACAAACUGUGAGAGGUUUAACCUAUUGGAAGGGCCCUGCUCUGGGGCAGCCAGCUCCUGCUGUCCUUCAUUACACACCUGUUCUAGACUUCCUUGGGAGUUUAUAGGGAUUGUUUUUAGGGCUUUUACAGUGAUUUUUAGAAAGCUGACUUCUGAGCCAGUGCUGUAGCUUAAUGAGCUCCAGCUAAUGUGAAGACUAAACUCCUGCUUGGCAGAUGGCUGCCCCAACCACUGUUUGCAACUACCUAGCAACUGGGAGCGUUGCCAUACUGACACGCUGAGCCCGGUGAAGGGAAAAGAAAUCAGGGGUUUUAAAUGUUUGUAUCCUGCCUAAUAAACACUGUUUGUUUUGUAAUAAACGCUUUGUGGAUGGAU